rnacentral:rRNA from 1 species
GAGUUUGAUCGUGGCUCAGAACGAACGCUGGCGGCAUGCCUAACACAUGCAAGUCGAACGGGAUCCAGGCUUCGGCCUGGUGAGAGUGGCGGACGGGUGAGUAACGCGUGGGAACCUGCCCAGAGGUACGGAAUAACAGUUGGAAACGACUGCUAAUACCGUAUGAGCCCGAGAGGGGAAAGAUUUAUCGCCUUUGGAGGGGCCCGCGUCAGAUUAGGUAGUUGGUGGGGUAAAGGCCUACCAAGCCUACGAUCUGUAGCUGGUCUGAGAGGAUGAUCAGCCACACUGGGACUGAGAUACGGCCCAGACUCCUACGGGAGGCAGCAGUGGGGAAUAUUGGACAAUGGGGGCAACCCUGAUCCAGCAAUGCCGCGUGAGUGAUGAAGGCCUUAGGGUUGUAAAGCUCUUUUGCCAGGGACGAUGAUGACGGUACCUGGAGAAUAAGCCCCGGCUAACUUCGU